UAGGGAAUCUUCCGCAAUGGACGAAAGUCUGACGGAGCGACGCCGCGUGAGCGAAGAAGGUCUUCGGAUCGUAAAGCUCUGUUGUUAGGGAAGAAGAAGUGCCGUUCGAACAGGGCGGCACGGUGACGGUACCUAACGAGAAAGCCCCGGCUAACUACGUGCCAGCAGCCGCGGUAAUACGUAGGGGGCGAGCGUUGUCCGGAAUUAUUGGGCGUAAAGCGCGCGCAGGCGGUCCCUUAAGUCUGAUGUGAAAGCCCACGGCUUAACCGUGGAGGGUCAUUGGCAACUGGGGGACUUGAGUGCAGAAGAGGAGAGCGGAAUUCCACGUGUAGCGGUGAAAUGCGUAGAGAUGUGGAGGAACACCAGUGGCGAAGGCGGCUCUCUGGUCUGUAACUGACGCUGAGGCGCGAAAGCGUGGGGAGCAAACAGG
rnacentral:rRNA from 1 species